CCUUCGAUAGCUCAGCUGGUAGAGCGGAGGACUGUAGUUGAUUUCCGGAUCAUGAGUCAUCCUUAGGUCGCUGGUUCGAUUCCGGCUCGAAGGA
rfam:Myotis lucifugus cont2.21730, whole genome shotgun sequence.